AACCCGUGAUGAGGGCACAUUCUCUAAAGAUUCUUAAAUCUCUCUCCAGCAUCAUAUAAUGUCUCCAAAUCAAUUUGGGUAAAAGAAGAGAUUACAUUCCUCAACUU
rnacentral:snoRNA from 1 species